CCGCCCGUCACACCAUGGGAGUGGGUUUCACCAGAAGCCGGUCGCUUAACCCGCAAGGGAUGGCGCCGACCACGGUGAGAUUCAUGACUGGGGUG
rnacentral:rRNA from 1 species